rnacentral:rRNA from 1 species
CCUACGGGUGGCAGCAGUGGGGAAUAUUGGGCAAUGGGCGCAAGCCUGACCCAGCAACGCCGCGUGAAGGAAGAAGGCCCUCGGGUUGUAAACUUCUUUUAUUCGGGACGAAACAAAUGACGGUACCGAAUGAAUAAGCCACGGCUAACUACGUGCCAGCAGCCGCGGUAAUACGUAGGUGGCAAGCGUUAUCCGGAUUUACUGGGUGUAAAGGGCGUGUAGGCGGGAGAGCAAGUCAGACGUGAAAUUCCAGGGCUCAACCCUGGAACUGCGUUUGAAACUGUUCUUCUUGAGUGAUGGAGAGGCAGGCGGAAUUCCGUGUGUAGCGGUGAAAUGCGUAGAGAUUAGGAAGAACACCAGUGGCGAAGGCGAUUCUCUGGACUGUAACUGACGCUGAGGCUCGAAAGCGUGGGGAGCAAACAGGAUUAGAUACCCGAGUAGUC